ACGAACGCUGGCGGCGUGCUUAACACAUGCAAGUCGAACGGUGAAGCGCCUUCCUUUUUGGUGGGUGUGGAUGAGUGGCGAACGGGUGAGUAACGCGUGAGUAACCUGCCCCCUUCUUCUGGAUAACCGCAUGAAAGUGUGGCUAAUACGGGAUAUUCUGGGUCUGUCGCAUGAUGGGUCUGGGAAAGAUAUUGUUUCGGUGGGGGAUGGGCUCGCGGCCUAUCAGCUUGUUGGUGGGGUGAUGGCCUACCAAGGCGGUGACGGGUAGCCGGCCUGAGAGGGUGGACGGUCACACUGGGACUGAGACACGGCCCAGACUCCUACGGGAGGCAGCAGUGGGGAAUAGUGCACAAUGGGCGCAAGCCUGAUGCAGCGACGCCGCGUGAGGGAUGGAGGCCUUCGGGUUGUGAACCUCUUUCGCCAGUGAAGCAGGCCUGCCUCGUUUGUGGGUGGGUUGACGGUAGCUGGAUAAGAAGCGCCGGCUAACUACGUG
rnacentral:rRNA from 1 species